UACGUAGGGACCGAGCGUUGUCCGGAAUCAUUGGGCGUAAAGCGCACGUAGGUGGAUACUUAAGUCGGAUGUGAAAGCCCUGGGCUUAACCUGGGAAUUGCGUCCGAUACUGGGUGUCUAGAGUAUGGUAGAGGGAAGUGGAAUUUCCGGUGUAGCGGUGAAAUGCGUAGAUAUCGGAAAGAACACCAGUGGCGAAGGCGGCUUCCUGGACCAAUACUGACACUGAGACGCGAAAGCGUGGGGAGCGAACAGG
rnacentral:rRNA from 1 species